GGCCGACUAGCUCAGUUGGUUAGAGCGUCGUGCUAAUACGAUCCCUUGGUAAGAAAAUGACCGGUAACUUCAUCUUCUUACCGGCGGACUCGAUACGCGAAGGUCUUGGGUUCGAUCCCCACGUUGGCCA